rnacentral:rRNA from 1 species
UCAAGCUACAAAGGGCGCAAGGAGAAUGCCUUGGCACUGGGAGCCGAUGAAAGACGUGGUAAGCUGCGAUAAGCUUCGGGGAGGAGCAAACAUCCUUUGAUCCGGAGAUUUCUGAAUGAGGAAACUCACCUGGGUUCAUACUCAGGUACGUUAUACUGAACUUCAAAAUAGGUAUAUCGAGGGAACCGCCUGAACUGAAACAUCUAAGUAGGGCGAGGAAGAGACAUCAAACGAGAUUCCGUUAGUAGUGGCGAGCGAACGCGGAAGAGGGCAAACCGGAAGGAGAAAUCCUUCCGGGGUAUGGACCGCUUUUAGGACUUUAGCUGUUAAUCGAAUGGCAUGGGAAGGCCAACCAAAGAGUGUGAGAGUCACGUAGAUGAAAACGGCGAGAGCUGCGCGAGUUCCAGAGUACGGCCAGACACGUGAAACCUGGUCGGAAGAUGGGGGGACCACCCUCCAACCCUAAAUACUACCCAGUGACCGAUAGCGUAUAGUACUGUGAAGGAAAGGUGAAAAGCACCCCGGGAGGGGAGUGAAAAAGAACCUGAAACCCUGUGCCUACAAGCACCUAGAGCGCGUCAAAGCGUGAUAGGGUACUUUUUGUAGAACGGUCCGGCGAGCGAUUGUAUGCAGCAAGGUUAAGGACUUAAGGUCUGGAGCCGAAGCGAAAGCGAGUUUGAAAAGGGCGUUAAGUUGCAUAUAAUGGGCCCGAAACCGGGUGACCUACCCAUGGUCAGGUUGAAGUGGAAGUAAAAUUCCAUGGAGGACCGAACCGACCUCCGUUGAAAAGGCGGCGGAUGAACUGUGGGUAGCGGAGAAAUUCCAAUCGAACCCGGAGAUAGCUGGUUCUCCCCGAAAUAGUUUUAGGACUAGCCUCAAGUUAGAUACCUGGAGGUAAAGCACUGAAUAGCCUAGCGGCCGAGAGGUUAGCGAAGCUUAUCAAACUCAGAAUGCCAGAGUAUUGAUGCUUGGGAGUCAGACAGUGUCAGAUAAAUGUCAUUGUCAAAAGGGAAACAGCCCAGAUCUACAGCUAAGGUCCCAAAGUCAGGUUAAGUGGAAAACGAUGUGAAGAUACGUAGACAACCAGGAUGUUGGCUCAGAAGCAGCCACUCAUUCAAAGAGUGCGUAAUAGCUCACUGGUCGAGCGUCUUUGCGCGGAGAAUUUAACGGGGCUAAACCUGACACCGAAGCUUAGGCAGCAUGUUAACAUGCUGGGUAGGGGAGCGUUGUAUACGCGGUGAAACAGUAGCGCAAGCGGCUGUGGAGUGUAUAGAAGUGAGAAUGCCGGAAUGAGUAGCGCGAAUGCAGUGAGAAUCUGCAUGGCCGAAAGCCUCAGGUUUCUGGAGGAAGGUUCGUCCGCUCCAGGUUAGUCGGGAGCUAAGGUGAGGCCUAACGGCGUAGCCGAUGCACAGACGGUAGAGAUUCCGUCACCACCAAAAGAGUUAAACACAGGGACACAUAUGAAGUCUCGGAGCCGGGUGUUGGUUCCGGUAGCGAUCGAGGGAAGUUAGUACCGAAGUCUGAGAUGGAAGAUGGCGAGAAAAGCUGUGUGUAUUUCUGCGGUGCCCGUACCGCAAACCGACACAGGUAGGUAGGAAGAAGAUUCUAAGGCCAACGGGAGAAGGGUUGUUAAGGAACUCGGCAAGUUGACCCCGUAACUUCGGAAUAAGGGGUGCUCACGAGAGUGAGCCGCAGAGAAUAGGCCCAGGCAACUGUUUACCAAAAACACAGGUUUGUGCUAAAUCGAAAGAUGACGUAUACGAGCUGACGCCUGCCCGGUGCUGGAAGGUUAAGAGGAGAUGUGCAAGCAUUGAAUCGAAGCCCCAGUGAACGGCGGCCGUAACUAUAACGGUCCUAAGGUAGCGAAAUUCCUUGUCAGGUAAG